rnacentral:rRNA from 1 species
UGGGGAGUACGGCCGCAAGGUUAAAACUCAAAUGAAUUGCCGGGGGCCCGCACAAGCGGUGGAGCAUGUGGUUUAAUUCGAUGCAACGCGAAGAACCUUACCUACUCUUGACAUCCAGAGAACUUAGCAGAGAUGCUUUGGUGCCUUCGGGAACUCUGAGACAGGUGCUGCAUGGCUGUCGUCAGCUCGUGUUGUGAAAUGUUGGGUUAAGUCCCGCAACGAGCGCAACCCUUAUCCUUUGUUGCCAGCGGUUAGGCCGGGAACUCAAAGGAGACUGCCAGUGAUAAACUGGAGGAAGGUGGGGAUGACGUCAAGUCAUCAUGGCCCUUAGGAGUAGGGCUACACACGUGCUACAAUGGCGCAUACAAAGAGAAGCGACCUCGCGAGAGCAAGCGGACCUCAUAAAGUGCGUCGUAGUCCGGAUUGGAGUCUGCAACUCGACUCCAUGAAGUCGGAAUCGCUAGUAAUCGUGGAUCAGAAUGCCACGGUGAAUACGUUCCCGGGCCUUGUACACACCGCCCGUCACACCAUGGGAGUGGGUUGCAAAAGAAGUAGGUAGCUUAACCUUCGGGAGGGCGCUUACCACUUUGAGAUCAGCCUCGC